rnacentral:pre_miRNA from 1 species
GAGAUAUAAGAAACCGUCUCUUAACUUUUAACUAAAAACAGUAAGGACCGGCUAUUAAAUAUCUUAUUUAAGAGCCGAUAUUUAAGAGCCGGCUCUUAGCUUUUUUAGUUUAAAAUUAAGAGACGGUUUUUUAUAUCUG